GACGAACGCUGGCGGCGUGCCUAAUACAUGCAAGUAGAACGCUGAAGGGAGAGCUUGCUCUUCUGGAUGAGUUGCGAACGGGUGAGUAACGCGUAGGUAACCUGCCUGGUAGCGGGGGAUAACUAUUGGAAACGAUAGCUAAUACCGCAUAACAGCAAAUGUUGCAUGACAUUUGCUUAAAAGGUGCAAUUGCAUCACUACCAGAUGGACCUGCGUUGUAUUAGCUAGUUGGUGGGGUAACGGCUCACCAAGGCGACGAUACAUAGCCGACCUGAGAGGGUGAUCGGCCACACUGGGACUGAGACACGGCCCAGACUACUACGGGAGGCAGCAGUAGGGAAUCUUCGGCAAUGGACGGAAGUCUGACCGAGCAACGCCGCGUGAGUGAAGAAGGUUUUCGGAUCGUAAAGCUCUGUUGUAAGAGAAGAACGAGUGUGAGAGUGGAAAGUUCACACUGUGACGGUAUCUUACCAGAAAGGGACGGCUAACUACGUGCCAGCCGCCGCCGUAA
rnacentral:rRNA from 1 species